GCUAUACAUGCAGUCGAGCGGACAGAUGGGAGCUUGCUCCCUGAUGUUAGCGGCGGACGGGUGAGUAACACGUGGGUAACCUGCCUGUAAGACUGGGAUAACUCCGGGAAACCGGGGCUAAUACCGGAUGCUUGUUUGAACCGCAUGGUUCAAACAUAAAAGGUGGCUUCGGCUACCACUUACAGAUGGACCCGCGGCGCAUUAGCUAGUUGGUGAGGUAACGGCUCACCAAGGCAACGAUGCGUAGCCGACCUGAGAGGGUGAUCGGCCACACUGGGACUGAGACACGGCCCAGACUCCUACGGGAGGCAGCAGUAGGGAAUCUUCCGCAAUGGACGAAAGUCUGACGGAGCAACGCCGCGUGAGUGAUGAAGGUUUUCGGAUCGUAAAGCUCUGUUGUUAGGGAAGAACAAGUACCGUUCGAAUAGGGCGGUACCUUGACGGUACCUAACCAGAAAGCCACGGCUAACUACGUGCCAGCAGCCGCGGUAAUACGUAGGUGGCAAGCGUUGUCCGGAAUUAUUGGGCGUAAAGGGCUCGCAGGCGGUUUCUUAAGUCUGAUGUGAAAGCCCCCGGCUCAACCGGGGAGGGUCAUUGGAAACUGGGGAACUUGAGUGCAGAAGAGGAGAGUGGAAUUCCACGUGUAGCGGUGAAAUGCGUAGAGAUGUGGAGGAACACCAGUGGCGAAGGCGACUCUCUGGUCUGUAACUGACGCUGAGGAGCGAAAGCGUGGGGAGCGAACAGGAUUAGAUACCCUGGUAGUCCACGCCGUAAACGAUGAGUGCUAAGUGUUAGGGGGUUUCCGCCCCUUAGUGCUGCAGCUAACGCAUUAAGCACUCCG
rnacentral:rRNA from 1 species